rnacentral:lncRNA from 1 species
UAUACACAUUUAAAAGUAAAAAAAAAAAACAUAUUGGAUAAUUGAGUCCAAAUUAAAGAGAAUGGUCAUGAAUUAUACCUUUUUUAAUAGUAUAAAUAAUAUAAAUAUCAAUUUUUUUGGAAGUAAUUACACUCUCUUCUAUUUUUUUAAUUACUACUUUACUCUCUCUCCCUAUUAAUAUACAUAAUAUAGCCGAUAUAUACAUAACAUUUUAUGUAUAUGUUGAAAUUUUUAUAAUAUAUUUAAAGAGUUGAAAUUGUUUGUAAUAUUAAAAAUAAAUUGUAUAUUUGUGUAAUUUUUAAUUUUUAAUAUGGGUAGAUGAGGACAAAUUGGAGUAAUAGCUAGCUUUGAUAAAGAAACAAAAUUGGUCAAAAAUUACAAAGUAAAUACACGUGAAUAUCACAUGAAAAGUAUGUGUCCUUUUUCCCAAUAUCUUCAAUUCAUUUAUUAUUUGGCCACGUGAACACUUCAUUCAGUUCGAAGAACUUUGGCUAAAAGUUAAAACUACAAAUGGGACACACUCCGUAAAUUUUUGGUUCUGGGACAACUUCGUUUAGGGGUUGUUUGGUAGAGUGCAUUGGCAAAAUUAAUAUAUGUAUUAAUUAAUGUGUAUUAUUAAUAUCUUAUUUGAUAUAACUUAAUUAAUGUAUUAUAUAUUUUAUUGUGUAGUAAGAUGUGUAUUACAAAUAUCAUCCAUUUUUUAUAUAUUAGUAAUGCAAAGCCUUUAUACAUGUAUUAACUUAUUAAAUGACCUUAAUACCCCUCAAUUUUCCUCUCAAAAUAUUUUACUAUUUCUUUUCCCGUCAUUUUAAUUUGCAAUAAUGAAUCUUUUCAAAACAUUUCACAAUUUUUUUCCCACCAUUUUAUUCUACAACAAUGAAUAAUUGAUUUAAAUAAUUAUAACAUAUUUUUGUUUUGCUUCGAGGGUCUUUAAAAAGAUUAAAAAAAAUUAAGACUAUUUCUUAAUUUUUCGUGUUAUAUUUUAUUUUUCUUUCGACUAUGUUAAUCCGUUGGUAUAAUAUUUUAUGCGUAAAGACGAAGGUCUUGCAAUUAAUCUGAAACUUUUAUAUACUAGUUCAACAAUACUAAUUAUAUUUGAGAUGACAAAAAAAUUUUGUUGCAAAAAAAGUGUGUAAAAUCAAAGAAGAGUAUUUUUGUAAACAAACAUUUCUUUUAUAGAAAUUAUAUAAGAUGUAUUAUUUCUUCUACAUCAAACUAAACAAUAUAUAAGAAAUAAUACAUACAUAACUAAUACAAGUAUUAGUAUUACUAAUAUACUAUAUUUUGCAUUAAUCUUAUACAUUCUUUCAAAUGAUCCCUUAUUAUACACUAGAAUACAACUUGUCACUUAAAAUGUCACAAUGAAUGUUUCUAGAAUUUUUUUAUUUAAAUUUUUUUAAAAUUCAUAUUAAAACAACUAGUAAAUGUUAUUAUAGGGAAAGCCAAGAAAAAUGGUAGCACUUUUUACAAGAAAGAGAUUACUCUUUAAUAUCCUAAUAUUAUUCAAAAUCUAAAUUUGACACCAAAAAAAUCCCGUGCAGCUCUUAGUUCUUACUCCUAAUAAUUCAUGAUAAUAAAAUAUUCAAGGUUUACAUAAUGUGUUAAUAUUGACAAUAGUAUUGAAUUUGUCACUUUAAAAGAUAGUGAAUUUGGAUCCAUGAUUUUCAACUCCCAAACACUUUAGAAAUUGUUCGAAAAAACAUGUGAUAAGAGAAAAAAAGACUAAACAUAUGGAGGAUUAAAAAAAGACUUUAAAAAUAUAUGGGACGGAGAAUUAGUGUUAGUAGUUGUUCAUUCAACAUAUAUAAUGCAAAUCACAAUAAACACAAAAUUGGGUGUUUUGGUCAAACGAAAUCAAUUAUUAUUUAAAUAUUGUUGUAAUAUUGAUUAUAAUAUUUAAAAAUUAAGGAGUUUUAAAAUAUAUAAGAAAAAAAUAUAUUAAAAAUGAAUAUUGAUAGAUUUUUUUUUAAUGUGAGAAAAGGAGUCUUAAAACAUAUAUGAUAAGACUAAAAAAAGAAAAUAUCAAUUUUUUUCCAUCAAAACAAAAAAUUAGUACUUAACUUAGACGUGGAUUUAAUAUAUGUAAGAGUAAAAAGGAAAAUAUCAAUUUUUUUCCAUCAAAACAAAAAAAUAGUACUUUGUAUUUAACUAUGGCAUGAAAUGGUGCUUUCCAUGGAAAUUAACAAAUAGCAAUAGACGAUUAUGGACAAUUUUUUAAAAGUAUUCUUUAAUUUAGGAAAUCCUUCAACUAUUACUUUUUUUUAGUACAUCUACAUUAUUACCUUCAUUAAAAGUUUUUUAAAAUAGAUAAAAUUAUCUUUUUAUUAUUUUAUUUUAUUUAAUUAUAUUAAUAAUAUUAAAUAUUGAUUAUAAUUAAUGAAUCUAAGGUAAGAUGUAUAAGAAUAAUUAAGGUAGACUUCUUUUUUAUUUAUAAAUCAUAUAUGUCCUAGUUAUUUUAUUGGAGAAAAUUGAAAGUGUUGUAGUAUAAACUAUAUUUUGGUUACAUAUAAGUGUCCUUUUUAGGCAAAGUGUUUUAGAAAUUCUUUUUGUGUAUGAAUCAUACACGUCUUAAUAAUUCCUCGAAAAAAGUAAAGAAGUGUCGUAGGGUCUUAUUUAAUUACUAGUUUAGGUGUAUACGGCUCGCGCGUGUACCUCACUUUAUUGAGUUCACACGUUAUACUAAAUAAGUUUUUUGUUAAAUAAUAAAGAUGAAUACAAUAAUUAAAUUCAACAUCUUUUGGAGAAUUUAUUUAAUUAAAUCUAACCUUUACAAAAAAAAUUGUCAAAGUCGAUCGACAUUCAUCUACCACCUGUAAACUGCAACAAAACAAUACGAUGAUAGAAACAUCAAAACAAUAUAAUUAAGUCUAACCUUUAUACAAAUUUUUUUCUCUAAGUCGUCCGACACUCAUCUACCAUUGUAAACUAUAACAGAAUAAUAUGAUAAUAAAAAUAUCAAAAUAAUACAACUAAAAUUAAUCUCUACACAAAAAAAUUCUCAAAAUAGAGAUAUAAAAACAAUACAAUUAGACCUAACCUUUACCUACAAAAAUUUCUCAAAGCCGAGUAAAUUAAUUGAAUGAAAAUAAAGAAAAUAUAUAUGCACACACGUUGAACUGUAUUAUUAAGCAUCUACCAAUCUAGAGCAUCAAUCAUAUUUUUUCAAUAAGUAAAUCGAUUUCUUCUCUAGUUUAACGUGCAUCUCAAUAUAUUUAUAAAAGUAUUUUCUUAAUACAUUCCUAUUUUAAUAGUAUUUCUCUAUCCUAUUUUUAGGAGUAUUUUUCUAAUUAAUCACUACAAAAAAAAUAUUAACUAAUUCUCUUUUUAUAUAUUUUAGGAUUCAGGUUAAUAUAAUAUAAAAAAGAAAGUCAAACUAUUACCCAUUAAAAAUAUAGAAAUGCUUUUUAUACGAAAUUCCAACUUUUGUACUUCUUUUUAUUUUUAUAAGAGAUAAUGCAUCCCUCCGAACUUGUCUUUCCAACUUACUUUAUCACUUAAACUAACAUUUCAUUUAUUUACCCCCUUAACAUCUUUGGAGUGAAUUAAUUUCACCCCUUAAUAUAUAAUUCCACUCUCAUGAGCGAGAGUACAUCACACUCACUGACACGUCAGCGCCACGUAAAUAAAGUAUUUUUUUUAUAUUAUAUAUAUAUAUAUACAUAUAUAUUUACAUAUUUUUAAAUAUAUAUAAAAUAUUUUAAAUAUAAAAUAUUUUAAAUUUUAAAAAUAACCCCAUCCCCCAUUUUCCAUCUUCUUCAUAACCCCCCAUCCCCCCCUCUCCCGUCCACCACCACACCUGCACAUACCCCGUCCACCCCAGUUCACCCCCACACUGCCAUACCUACACACACCCUCAUCCAUCUCCGUCCAACCCCAACAUCCACAACUGCACACACACGCCAUAAUUUUUGGCGAAUUUUCGUCGAAAAACUCUAUUACCACCAUAAAAAAAUACCAUAAAAUAGUGAUAAAAAAACCCAACACCUGGUAAAUUAGAUCAAAUCAACACCAAAUUCUCUAAAAUCAACAACCAAACAUUCAAAUCAUGUCAAUUUUUUAAUUUUUAAAUUCAAUUUCAUUUCUUUUUUUAUUGGGGAUGAAGGAGGAGAAAUUGGAAGUAGGGGUGUGAUUUGGUAAUUGAAGAAGUAAUUGGGGUUAGAUUUAGGAGGGGGGUGUUGGUGGUGGUUGUUGGCGGGUUUGGGAGGGACUAGGAUGGGGUGGGAUGGCCGGGGUGGCGGGGGGAGGAGUGUUAGAAGAAGGAGAGAAAUAUAUAUGUAUAUAUAUAUAGAUAUUAGUAUUUUUUAAAAAAAAUUACCGUUCACGCAUUUCUUUUUCUUUUUUUUUUUUUAAAUGUCAUGUCAGUAUAAGGUGUGAAAAUAAUUCAGUUGAAAGAUGUUAAGGAAGAUAAAUAAUUAUUCAUAAAAUUUAAGUACUAAGUGAGUUGGAAAGAUAAGUUUAGAAGGUUUUGAUGUAUUAUCUCUAAAAUUAAAAACAAAAGAAAAAUGUGAAGCCAUAAGAUGACCUUGACCUUCCAUUCUAAUUACCAUACCUAGGAGAAAAGGCUAGAACCUGCCCUAUGGGAUAUUUAAUUUCCAUUUCUUGUAGGAAAUAUUAUGUGCAAAAGUGCCCAAGUUUUCAAAAGUUACCUUCAAUAAACAAAGAUGUAAAAGAACCUUUUUCCAUAUAUUUUAGGAGUCUUUAAUUCAAAUACAUUUCUUUCUAUAUAUUUUAGGAGUUCAGUUAAUAUUAUAAAUAUAAUUAAAUAAUAAUUAUGAGAAAAAUAGUGAAAAGACAAUUUUGUCAAAAGCAAAGACUUUUAAUAAAGGGUAAAAAGUUCAAAUCAUUUUUCUAAGGAUUUUUACACUUUUAAUAUAUUAUAUUAUAUAUAGAUUAUAGAUUAUAGAUUAUAGAUAUAGAUAUAGAUAAUACUUAAUAUUAAUUAUAACUAAUGAGUUCAACAUAUCUAUCUAUAGUAUAUUAAAAGUGUAAAAGAUAUUAGAAAUGUUGUUUGAACUUUUUUUUUCCUUCAUUGAAAGUAUCUGCUUCAGACAAAAUUUUCUUUUUACUAUUUCUGCUAAUAUUAAGAAUUGAAAAAUAAUUAAGUAUUUAUAGUAAAACAUUUUCUUAUUAGAAGUUAUCAAAUUCAUCACAACUAAUUUUUUUUUCAUUAGUUUAAAAUUAAUUAAAUAUUUAUCAUAAUACUUCUCCUUUAGAAGUCAUCAGAAUUCAUGAAAGCUAAUAUUUUUUUCAUUAAUUUAAGAAUUCUAAAUCAACUAAAUUUGAUUUUAAGAAGAUUUAUCUAGAAAUAAAUAUAAAAGCGUUUAAAUAAUAAAAAUUUAGGAAAUACCAGUUUUUGCUUUAGACAAAAUCGUCUAUUCACUAUUUUUUUUUAAUAUUUAAAAGUUGAAAAUUUAUUAAAUAUAUUUGUGGUAAAACCUUUCCUUAUUAGAAGUCAUCGGAAUUAAUGAUAACUAAUAUUUUUUUUAUUAAUUUAAGAAUUCUAAUCAACUAAAUUUAAUUUUAAAAAGAUUUAAAAAAUCUAUAAACCUACAUCUACAAUCUACAUCUACAAUAUAUUAAAAAUGUGAAAACUCAUAAAAAAAUAAUAGUUGUUAUGAAAUAAUAAAGAAUAAAUAAGAAGAGUAGAGAAAGAAUAGAAAGUAAUUCUUAUUUCUCUUGCAGGAUGAAUUACAACGAAUAAAACCCCUUUAUUUAUAGGGGAAAACUAAACUUGGGGAUUUGUAACUUUUUCAUAAAUAGACAUGCACAAUAUAUGGUAAAGUAGAUAUUCACUAUAUAUAGUAAAAUAGACAUUUACUAUAUAUGGUACAUUUAUAACACUCCCCCUUGAAUGUCUAAUUGAUAGAUAAUACGCAUAUAUGUUGCUUCAUUAAAAACCCUACAAGGAAAACCCAGUGGUAUAAAACCUCGUAAGGCAAAAAGAGUACAGCGCGUAUUAACUCCCCUUAAUGAGAACAUUCUUGAACCUUUGCAUUCCGAUCUUGUGCACCAUCUUCUUGAAAGUUGCAGUUGGAAGAGACUUGGUGAAUAAAUCAGCCACAUCUACAAUAUAUUAAAAGUGUGAAAACUCAUAAAAAAAGUAAUAGUUGUUAUGAAAUAAUAAAUAACAAAUAAGAAGAGUAGAGAAAGAAUAGAGAGUAAUUCUUAUUUCUCUUGAAUGAUGAAUUACAACGAAGAAAACCCUUUUAUUUAUAAGGGAAAACUAACCUUGGGGAUUUGUAACUUUUUCAUAAAUAGACAUUCACAAUAUAUGGUAAAGUAGGUAUUCACUAUAUAUAGUAAAGUAGACAUUCACUAUAUAUGGUACAUUUAUAACACUCCCUCUUGAAUGUCUAAUUGAUAUAUAAUACACAUAUAUAUUGCUUCAUUAAAAACCUUACAAGGAAAACCCAAUGGGAUAAAACCUCUUAAGGGAAAAAGAGUACAACGCGUAUUAACUCCCCUUAAUGAGAACAUCCUUGAACCUUUGUAUUCCGAUCUUGUGCAGCAUCUUCUUGAAAGUUGCAGUUGGAAGAGACUUGGUGAAUAAAUCAGCCACAUUAUCACUUGAACGAAUCGGUUGUACAUUAAUAUCACCAUUCUUUUGGAACUCAUGUAUAUAGAAAAGCUUUGGUGAAAUGUACGUCGUGCUAUCUCCUUUUAUGAAUCCUCCCUUAAGAUGUGCUAUGCAUGCUGCAUUAUCUCUGUAUAAAACUGUGAGUACAUUGUCACAUUUCAAAUCACAUUUUUCUCGAAUGAGAUGUAUCAUGAACCUCAACCACACACAUUCUCGGUUUGUUUCAUGAAUAGCUAUUCUCUCAACAUGAUUCGAUGAAGUGGCUAUGAUAGACUGCUUUGUAUAUCUCUAAGAUAUGACAAUACCACCACAUAUAAACACACAGCUUGUUUGAGAUCGAGCUUUAUGUGGGUCAGAUAAGUACCCAACAUCAGCAUGUCCAAUAGAACGGAACUACAAUCUUGCUAACAAAUUAACUGAAAAGGCUAUCUCAAGCCUUAUAGUAUUUGCAAGAUAUAUGAGUACACCAAUUGCACUAAGAUAUGGUACUUCAUAACUAAUUCAAAUUGAUAUAUUUCACAUUUCAGCAAAUAAUGUAUUGCUUUAGAAAACUCUGCAAGAGUUUCAAUAAUAUUCAAACCAUCAACUUAUUCCUUAUAAGGAUAAUAAAUAAGUUUCUCGAAAACUUUAUAUGGUUUAGGCAUUCUGAAUCCUUUAGGGAUUUUCAUCUAGAUUUCUGUCAAGUGACAAUAUUCAAUAUUUCACGUGUGACAUCUUCGAGUGGACUGCAAAUCAAAUAAGUUUUAUGUUUAUCAAGAUGCAUCUUUUCAUGUCACUUAAUAAGUGUUUCUACGUCAUCAUGCUUAAAUUAACGUAGAAUUCAAAUCCUCGUAAUCUUUCACAAUAUUGCUCCAAUAUUGUAUCAAAUAUAUUGAUGAUAUUUCAUUUCGUAUCGGUUCACAGUGUGACAUAACAUUUUGAGAUCUCAUCACUUUAUUAUUUUCAGGUACCUGAACCUCUCAUAAGGUUUCAUGAAGUGUUAUGUCGUAUGCUCUUCAAGAGUACAUUGCCUUCUUAUUAUGAUUUUUUGCUCAUUAUCCUUUAUAAGAAUUAUUUCAUUUGGAAUCGAUUGGUCUACCACACUUCAUAUAUGCAUAGACUUUGUCCUUUAGGGACACAAAAUAGGAGCACUUGUAGCUUAAAUAUGAGAUAUGCAUUCGGCAUUUUACUUGAACUAUCUUUUGAAUGAGGAUAUGAUGAUAAUUCCUAAUAUAUUUCAUAGCCGCUUAUAAUCUCCCCCUUAUGUUAGGAAAACUAACAUACAUCCUCCAUUUUAUUUGAGGAAUCCAUCUUUGUGCAUCAUGGUAUAUUCAUUAAUCGUAUAUUGCACAUUAAAACUAUUAGAUGAAAUAGUUGGUUCUGACCUUAAACCAAUUGGGAGGGAAGAAAUAAUCAUAAUUUAUUGGUCUAAUGCAUACAAGUGUUAUUGUAUGCAACAUAUCAUAUUUCAGACCAACACAUGAAGUUUUGUUUUUAUUAGCAAUGAUUUAGCUAUUUAUCGAAGGCAUUCAAUGUCAAACCAUCGUCAUCAAGAUGAAUUGUCUUGAUUCUAUAAUCUAAAAGUUAUACUCUUAACUCAAUUUUAUCAAGCAAGCAACUUUAUGAAUGUCAAACUGCAGGUUGACAAUAAAUUACACAGUGAUCAUCUUAUUGAUGCAUCUUAAUAGAUCACAUGAUAGGUGAACGGGCCCUUAUUCACCCUUUAUACUUUUCAGAUUUUAAGGAAUUCAAUCCCAAAAUUAAUUGGUCCAACCAACUUAUCAUGAGAACAAACAACAUUAAAAGUAAUGAAGAAUUUUCUAAUUCUUCAAUCUAUGUUCAAUACUCAGUAUGCAUAUCUUUGGGAUAUCGCAAUCGUUCAUGUCAAUUUAUGAACUUUUAUUAGAGCAAAUUCCAAGUUUACCAUGACAUGUAAACUUUUACUUUAAUAAAUUUUAGUUUUACUAUUACAUGAAUAAAUUUCAGAUUUUACUUUAGAAUUAGAUUUCAAAAUAACUCUUCUCAAUUAUUUUGCCUCUUACGGAGGUGGAUUGUGAUUUCCUUACAACCACGAGCACGUUCAAAUUUAUAUACAGUCACAUUUACCCCCAGGGUCUAGAUCUGUAUUUAUAAUAAUCAAAAUUCUCAUUCCCGAAGAAUAGAAUAUAAUCGUUCCUUAGACAUAUCAAUUUAUGAUAGCUUAGAACCUUCUCUUUCAAGAUAUUGUUAGUUCAAGAGCAAAUCGAGGCAUGCAUAUAAUGUAGAGAAUUUUUCUCUUAACAUAUCUUUCAGAGUACAGCAUAUAUUGCUACCACAUUCACUUUAAAAAUGGAGCAAAUUGUCAUCUUUCAGACUAAUCAUAUAGUGCUACCGCAUUCACUUCAAGAAUGGAGCAAUUUGACUUAUCAUAUAUUGCAACCAUAUUCACUUCUUGGAAUGGAGCAUAUUCAGAGGGAUAGAUUCAUGUCUAUUUAUCAAAAAUACAUUAUUUUGCCUUAGUCAUCGUUAUAUUAUCAAUAUGGUGUAUUGAGAUUCAAACUCAACGUCUUAUUCAUAUAAAAGCGUCUUAUGCAUAAAUCGAUGGGACUUGAACCCAUGCAUGCAUUCAUAUCGUACUUUUGGGAGGAUGACCAUCUUCAAGUGGUCAAAUAUUUCUUUUAGGCUAUUCCACAAAACAAGUGGAUCCUUAGUAGUAAGGUAUUCAAUUUUCAGAAUUUCGUCAAGAUGAUGACGCAACAAAAUCAUAGCCUUAGCAUGAUUUUAAUGAGAUGUUGUAUUUUUUUCUUAUGGCGUCUCCAAGACCCAUAACAUAUAAGUGGAUUUCAGCAUUCAAUACUCAUUAAAGGUAAUUUUUACUCGAGGCAACGAACUCAGAUUUUGUAAGAUUAUUAGUAAUAUGAAAAGAAAGAAAAUAAUACCUUAGCCUUCAAAUUUGAUACGACAGAGUCUCGUACUGAUAGCGUGUUAUGAAAUAAUAAAGAACAAAGAAGAAGAGUAGAGAGAGAAUUGAGAGUAAUUCUUAUUUCUCUUGAGGGAUGAACUACAAUGAAGAAAAUCGCUUUAUUUAUAGGGAAAAACUAACCUUGGGGUUUGUAACUUUUCCAUAAAUAGACAUACACAAUAUAUGGUAAGGUAGGUAUUCACUAUAUAUGGUAAAGUAGAAAUUCAAUAUAUAUGGUACAUUUAUAACAAUAGUUUAAAACUAACUAAAAUUUGAUUUUUACAAAGUUGCCCAAAUAUUAGUAUAGCACGUGUUACUACUAUUUAUGAUGUGUAUUGUUUUUGCUUCGUAUAGAAUUAAAACUUGAUUUAUUUACUUUACAAAACUGCUUUUUAUUUCUUCUUUUUUGUACUUCUUUUAAAAAAUCAAAGUUGGUUUGGGAUUUUUGCUUUUAAAUAAGUUAAUAUUAUGCAUUAUUUAGGUUGGGACUUUUUAUUAAGUCAAUUAUACAUUAUUUAGAUUUUUUGAAGUUAAUUAAAGUUCUUAUUUCAUCUACAAGAACUCACAGUAUUUAAUACUUCUAAAUCAAUUAAAAUUUCACCUUAUAUAAAAAGAACUUUUACAACUCUGUUUAAGUGAUAUUUUCAAUCAAAUUUUAUAAGAAACAUAAACAUUGGCUAUUUUAUUUUUUAUUUUCUUCUUAUUUUGAUUUUGAUUCAAGUCAUAUUAUUACGUUCAUUGUCAUCAUCAUAGUUUUUUUUCUUUAUUUGAUUUUCAGUUCACUUACUUCUUUCUCUUUGUUUUUACUUUUCCAGGUUCCAAAACAUGCGUAGGGUAAAAAUAAGUUUAUGUAUAGAAUUUUCUUAUUCAAUGAAAUCUUGAUAGUAUCUAUGAUUAAGACAAUAAAUUUGUUUGUGAUUUAAGGUAAGUUUUUAAAAUUUUUAGUAUAUUUUUAAAGUAUACGAUAAAUAAAUUAUCAUCUAUUGUUGAUAAAAAACUAUUAAUUGAUAAAUAUUUUGUGAUUUUUAUUUUUAAUGACUCAUGUGCAAUUAAUAAUUUAAAAUUAACUUAUUUGCAAUUUUAAAAUCCUAAAAUAUAUAGUAAGAAAGACAAUAUUAUCAAUAGUGUAGGUAGAUUUUACGUGAAAAAAGAACUCCUAAUUCUAUUGUUUCACGAACUCUAUGUGUACGCUGCAUAUGUUUAAGCUCAAAUCUGAGAUGUCAAAAUACGUUUCUUAAGAUUAUCCUUCAAACCAGUCCCAAACCAGUCAAAAAGUUGUCCACAACAAUAACCUGCACAAUUAUAAAGAAGUUUCUCACUGCAUAAUAAGGUGGAUCCAUAAGGGCAUCAUUCUAUUAGCUGAUUUUAUUUUACUCUAUUAAGCAUUCACUCGGAAGACCCAUGAAAACACUAAAAGUAUUUCCAUACACAAACCCUAGGGGUGGGGUGGGGGGGAUAAGAAAUAAAUAAUAGGAUUAUAAGUUAGAAGAUACCGAUGAGCCGAUAGAUGAUUGAAAGUUAGAACAAGAAGUUACCUCAUUCUUCUCAUUCUCCAUCAGUUUGUCGACUAGGUGAGAACCAAUAAAUCCAGCUCCUCCAGUAACCAAAAGUUUCAUUUUAGAAUGCAACCAGAAAUAAAAUAUUUUAGCAGACGUGGAUUAAUCGUCUUUUCACUAUUUUUCUAAUAUUUAAGAGUUUGAAAAUUAAUUAAAAUACUUAUAGUAAACAUUUUCUUAUUGGAAGUCAUCACAAUUAGUUACAACUAACACAUUUUUCAUUAGUUUAAAAAUUCUAAAUCAACUAAAACUGAUUUUAAUAACCAUUGAAAAAUAUAGAAAUAAAUAUGAAAUCAUUAGCAUAAGAAAAUACAAGAAAUAUCAAAUUUGUAAAAGUUUUAAGUAAGUAAUCAAAGAUUUUCUAAAGAUAUAAAUUUAAAAAUAAGAAAAGAUUUUAAAUAUAGAAAAAAUAAAAAAAAUAGCCGUAAUAUAAAUAUGAUUUAAACCGGUGCGUCUCUCUUAGCCCCUAGUAGCAAGGAAAAGAUGUACUGCAUGACAAACGCAAAAGUACCAUUAACCACUUGAAACUUCUACGCGGUAAAAUAUAUAUGGGCUUACAGUAUCAUUAAGAACCUUCGUAAUACACAAAAUCAUGUAAUUUCAAAUCAUCAAAAGUUACAUGUGCGAAGCAUGUGCGGCUAAACUAGUAUACUAGACAUCAAAGGGAUAUCUGUUAUUUUUCUAUCUCAGUUUAUGUGACAUAAAUAUAAUUGAGAUAAUUAAUCAUAAUAAAUUAAAUUUUUUAUUAUUAUAAUUUAUAAUUUUUUUUCUAUUCCAAUUUAAGUAAUACUAAUAUAAUUUCGAGAGUCAAUCGAAUAUUUUAUAUUUUUUAUAUUCUAAAGUUGUUAAUUAUGUAAUUUAUAAAGCUUUUAACAUAAUUUUUUAAUAAGAUAUUAAUAUUACUUCUCUGUCUCAGUUUACGUGUCUUCUUAUUUUUAAAUAAUAUUAGUUUAAGUAUACGUGCCUUGCGCGUGUACCUUACUUUAAUGAGUUCAAACAUUACACUAAAUACAAUAUUUAUUUAAAUAAUAAAAAUAAAUAUAAUAAUUAAAUUUAAUAUCUUUUGAUUAUGUAAAUAUGGAGAAUUUAUUUAUUAAACUUAACCUUUACCGAAAAUAUUUUUAAAAGUCGAUCGACAUUCAUCUACCAUCUGUAAAUUGCAACAAAAUAACACAAUGAUAGAGAUAUCAAAAUAAUACAAUUAAAUCUAAUCUUUACGCAUAAUUUUUUUUCCAAAGUUGUCUGACACUCAUCUACCACCUGUAAACAGUAACAAAAUAAUACGAUAAUAGAGAUAUCAAAAUAAUACAACUAAAACUAACCUUUACAUAAAAAAAUUUCUCAAAGCCGACAAAUAUUUAUCUAUCACCUGUAAAUUGCAACAAAAUAAUACGAUAAAAGUGAUAUAAAAAAUACAAUUAAACUUAAAUUUUACACACAAAAAUUUUUCAAAGCCGAUCGAGAUUCAUCUACGAACUGUAAAUUACCACAAAAUAACAAACUAAUAGAGAUAUUAUGAUAAUACAAUUAAACCUAGCUUUUACCUAGAGAAAAAUUCAAAGCCGGCCCAUAUUCAUCUAGCAUCUAUAAAUUAAAAUGAAAUAAUAAGAUAAUAAAAAUAUCAACCGACAUUCAUCUACGACUUGUAAACUAUUUAAAAAAAAUAAUAUAAUAGUGAUCACAAAGCUUCGAUCUUGAUCCAACUAAUUCUUGUCUGAACAAAAAUUUUGACCCUAAAAAAUGAUUUUAAAUGAAAACAAAGAAGAUAUAUAUAUAUAUAUACUAGUUUAACGUACAUCUCAAUAUUUAUAGAAGUAUUUCCUUAAUAGAGUCCUAUUUUAGGAGUAUUUUUCUAAUCGAACAGUAGAAAGAAAAAUAUUAAUUAAUUCUCCUACCAUAUAUUUUAGGAGUUCCAUAUAUUUUAGGAAAUCUAAUAGAAAAUAAAAUAUUAAUUAAUUUUUCUACCAUAUAUUUUAGGAGCCCCAUAUAUUUUAGGAAGUCUAGUUAAUAUAAUAAAAAUAAUUAAAUAAUAAAUUAAAAAUAGUGAAAAAAUAAUUUUGUCUAAAGAAGAGUCUUCUAAUGAAGGCAAAAAGUCCAAAUCUCUUUUCUAAGAGUCUUCACACUUUUGAUAUAUUAUUAUAUGGCUAUAUAGAUUAUAGAUAUAGAUAUAUUACUUUAUGUCUUUUUUGUUCCAUCGUAAUUUAUAUGACACUAAUAUAUUUUUGAUAGUCAACUGAAUAUUUUAUGUUGACAUAUCAUUUUGUGUCUAUUUUACUUUUUUUAUGAAAUAUUAUUAAUUUUUUUAUGCUUAAAUAACCAUAAAAAUUAAUUAGGAGUGAUAUAAUAAUAUCACGAUUGAAACAGCGAAGCAGACAUGUCUUAAAUGACUUAUAAUAACUAAUAAGAAGUGAUAGAACAAAAUUACUAUAAAAAAUACUUGUGAAAAAAAUUUAAAUGAAUCUCAUAUAAAAUAUCAAGUUAAUUUAAAACAUCAAGAGUUGAUUUAUCAUUUUAUGUCUAAUUUAUCCUUUUUAUUAAAUAUUAUUAAUUUUUUAAUACUUAGGUGACUUAUAAUAAUUAACUAAAGGUGAUAUAGUAAAAUUACGAUUGAAGCAGUGAAGAAGGUAGCAUAAAACAUCAAGAGUUAAUUUAUCAUUUUAUUUCUAUUUUAUUUUUAAUUAAAUAUUAUUAAUUUUUGAAUACUUAAACGACUUAUAAUAAUUAAUUAGGAAUGAUACAGGAAAAUUAUGAUUGAAGCCGGUAGCACAAUCAAAUAUAUCGACCUCGUGCCUGCUUGUUGCCCUUUAUUAUUAGUAUUAGUAUUUUAAUAUUUUCCUCAAAAGUUUAUGUUGAUUUUCUUUGGUCAUGUGUGUCGACAAAUGUAGAUUCCUAUAUAUUUUGAUAAUUUUUCAUAAGAUAUUUGAUAGCUAUUUUGAGGCUCGAUUAAUUCAAUUGAGCUGAAAGGUUUUACUACUAAAAAUAAGAAAUACAAAACGCUUAUAAUUUUACUACAAUUUUUGGUGGUGCAUUGACUAAUAUAUGAGCAGUAGUCUAAUUUAAAUUGUUAGAAAAAAUAUAUUUCUAUUAUUUAAUUAUAUUCAAAAUAUGCUUACUCAUAUGUUAGGUCUGAUUUUUUUUCACGAGUCAAAUAUACAUAAAAAAAAUUUGAUAAUGUUUGUCGAUAAGAUUUGAUUUCAAAAUUUCUACCUAUUCUGAAAUCAUAUUGAAGUGUGUGAGCAUCUCAAUCUCCUAUUCCAAAUAUAUUUUUUUUCAUUACUAGUAUUAGUACCCGCAUGAUGCGCGGUCGAUAUUAAAUGAAAUUAAUUAUAAAUAUUAUUAUCUUAUUGAUUUUAUAUAAUAAAAAAUUUAUUCAAUAUCAUUCACAUAUUUGAAAUUAAUAAAUUUAUGCAAUACGAAAAAUAAUUAUUAAAAUAUUAAAUUUAAUAUCAUUAAUUAUAUAAAACUUAAACAUUUCUUUUCGAAAGUUAAUAUCCGCGUGCAAAUAAUAUUAUAUUAUAAUAUAAUUAUUUGAGAAUAUUAAUAAUAUUGUGAUCUAUAUUGAUUUAUUUUGUAAAAAAAAUCAUAUGAUUACAAAAGAAAAUACAUAUUUAACAUAAUUAUUAUUAAUUAAGUGACUUACUUCUAAGUUUAGUUAGAAAAAUAAAGAACUAAUGAAAGAUAUGCUUUAGAGUUAUGCACGUGAAGCUUCUUUGUAAAAUUUUAACUUGAAAUUUAAAUUCUUUUAUAUUAAAUAUUUCAAUUUGCACCCUUUUAUCAAGAAGAAGAAAGGAGUUCCCCUUCUCUUUUCUUGUCUUAAUAGAUUUUUCUUUCAUAGUAGAUUUUGGAUUCCUUUGCACGAUCUUAGCCAUAGUAUAUUUUUGAUAAAUUUAAAAUAUUUUUGCAUCAAGACAAAUAUUUUGAGCAAAGUCUCGAUAAUAGUCAAUUUUUUCUCUCUCAUAUUUUUUUAUUAUCAUUUUUUCAACAAAUAACUUAUAACAUUAUCUAAAGUCCUAACAUGUUUGCACGAUUUCACAAUGUUCACUUAUUCUCUUAUGAUAAUAGACCAACAAAUAUUAAUGAAUCUCAUUAUAUAUUAUUUUUUUGAAUAAAAGGUUUAGUUCUUCAUAGGUUUGAAUACUUACUCUUCAACUCUAUUUUCGAUCAACCCUAUCAUACUUUCUCAAUUUACUCAACUUGAAUGAAAUUAUAAAUAUUAAUCACUAUCAAAAUUGAAUUCCCUCCUAUCUUAGAACAUUCAACUAAUACUUAACCCCUCAUGUUCAUCAGUACAAUAAGAUAUUAAUCUUAUUCAUCUUUAUCCUUUAUAUUGUACAAAGUAGAUCAAAAUAAUCAUUGUACCAAAAGAUCUACAAUAUUCUAAAAUUAGAGUUACAAAUACAAAGAUAAACAUGGUUGAACUCAUUGUCUGUUUAUAUCGACUAAAACAAAAAAAAAAAAGAAAGAAAGUUUGUAGCAUAGUAUUUAUAAAUAACAAAUGAUAAAUGACCUUUACUAUCAAAUUAGUACAAUAUGCUACGUAAAAGUAAAAUAAUAUUUACAGUAAGAAUUUAAAUAUAAUGAAUUUGAAAAAAUCAAUAUUCGUAAUUGAUUUAUUGAAUUUGAGCAUUGCCCAUUGGGCAUCAGCCACAAGAUACUCACUCAAAUUUUGAUCUUCGAGAUAUCGCUUUUGAGAUAGUAAUCCUAGUGUCGGAUAAAUUUUAUAGAUAGUUAUACAACUAUCAUUUUUUUACUAAGGUCACUUAACUAUCAUUCCUAAUACAAUAUCACAAAAUUUUUAAUAUACUAUUAAAAUCACACAAUUUAAUUUAUAAAUAAUUGUUAAUCAUAACAUAUAGAAAUAUAGUAUAGACAAAUCAAGUGUUAAUCCUAAUAUAUAGAAACAUAAUGGAUUAGUAAUUUAGUAUCAUAGUUUAUUAAUUUUUGAAAUCAUAUUAUUAUCUCACUAAAAUCUAAAGUAACAAUAUUUGCAAUGCAAGAAAAUCAACUAUCUAAUAUCAAUAUUAGUUUCUUCAUAUUUAAUGUAUAACUUGUAAAUUUUUAUGUUAUUGCUAAAAUUCUCAUUGUACAUUUCGACCGAGAUGAAUUUUUAUAAGUCUUUAAAAAUGUAUGAAAUAUUAAAAGAUCACUAACUUAAAUCUUCAAAGAGUACAGAUUAUAUUUUUUUUUUAUAAAACACAAAGUACAUGAAUACUGACUCAUAAAUUUUUCACUAAACAUGUAGAAAAUAAAACGAAUACGCAACAUAACCUGUAUAUUUAAUUGACUUUAUAAAUCAAGAAAAAUCUAUUCUAAAACAAUACUCAAGGUAAAUUGAGAUUCUAGCGAUUAUCAGGACAAGAUAAGUUGUGGCAAAAAUCACUUGCACAAUUCAUCUUCUCCAAUAUGUUAUGGCAGAAACUAAUUAGCGUUUACUGAGUGUAUCCUUCUUAUAUAGUGGUAAAUUUUUAUGGCAUUAGAAAUUCUAGAUUAAUUGUUGUUGGUACAAUAUUUUCAUAUAUAUGAGAAUAAUUGUUAAUUGAUUAUUCAUUUUCUAUUUAUAUGUUUCAAUCAAUUUUGUCAUGCUUCCUUAAUUGACUUACAUUGAAGGAAAUCAUAAAUACUUUUUGUCAUAUAAAUAUUCAUUCUAUAGUAAUACUUUAAUUGCAUAUAUUCUAAUUUAUUAGUAACUCACACCUACAUUUCAUCAUAUAAAAAUUAUUAUAAAUUUUUAUUAUUAAGAAAUAUUUAUUCCUAAUUCAUUUUAUUGAUCUGCACAUUUAAAUUUUUAUAUAAUAUAAUUUAAUCUUUUUUAAUUAAUGUUUGUUCAUCAAAACGAAGUAUCUUUUUCAAAUUUGAUUAUUUUAAAAUUCAAAAUUAUUCUUACAAACAUAUAUAAGGUUAUAUAAUUAGUCAAUUAAAGAAUAAUUUUGUAAGGCAAAAUUUUAUUUGACUUCAAAUAUUAGUUAGGACUAUGUAAUUUUAAUAGUUAUUUUCAAUAAACAUUAUGCAAUCUUUUCUGUGUAGUAAUAUUCAUUUUUUAAAAAAAUUAAUAUUCAUUUAUUUUCAAUCUAUUCUCCUUUUAAAUUCAAGACUAUCUUUUAUUCAUUUCCUAAUAUAGAAUGAUAGUGUAAUUACUCAUUGGUGGUUAUCCUAAAUUAUGAAAAUCCUUUCAUAAAAUAUGAAUGCAUAUUAUUUUAAAUAUGGAUUACUUAAAAUAUAUCGAAUGAAAAUCCUUCCAAUAAAUAUGAAUGCAUAUUUUUGGAAUAAAAUUACUUGAUAUAUAUUGAAAUAAAUUUCUUCCAUUUUGUAGUCCAAUGUUACCAUUUGAGUGAUCACAUAUUUUUCAUAAUAUUUUUAAUUUUAGAAUAACUCUUUGAUUAUUAUAUAUUUUUUUCCAUAUAAGUUGUUUUAUUAAUAAUUGAUUAUUCUCUUAAUUGAUAUUUCUUGGUAUUUUCUUGAUUUAGUCAAUUGUGAUCAAAUCAUAAAUGUUCUUUUUUUUCUAUAUAAUAUUAUUAUUUAAAUUAAUUAUACACACAUUUUGAUCGAUUACAUCUUUUUCAUAAUAUUUUUAAUUUUGGAAGGACUCAUUUGUCAUAAAAAUCUUUUUCAUAUAAGUUACUUGAUUAUUAAAUUAGUUGUUCUCUAAUUAAUUUUUUUGUAAUACUUUUUUAUUUACUAAAUUGUAGUGAAAUCAUAAAUGUUUUUAAAAUAAUAUUAUUAUUUAAAUUAAUUAUGUAUAUUUUUUUAGGGAUAACAUUUUUUAAUAAUAUUUUUUAAUUUUGAAAUUUUUAUAAAUGUAUUUACAUUAUAGUGAAUGUCUAUCAAGACCUACUUCUUCUUUAUUCUUUAUUAUUUCAUAGCACGUUAUUAGCACGAAGCUGUAACCAAUUGAGUAAUAAUUGAGAUAAAGCCGCCCAAAACGUGAUCUGUCAAUUGCUCAACAUGCUUGAGGUAUUAUUUUUCUUUUAAUAAUUCCUCAUGAGGUAUGAUUUCUUUUAUUAAAUAAUUCCUUUAUCUUGUUCCGAUACGGCAAAGAGCAAUAGAUCCACGGUUGGGACAAUGCACUAUUUUAACAUUUACAUUACUGCUACUUUGAAUGAAAAAAAGAACUAAUUAAUACUUCAUUGAAUAAUUUUGAUUUGAAAAGAAUAAUUAUAAAAGGGUUACAUGCAAAGGUCCAUGCAUAUCUAAAAUUGCGUGGUACGGAAGAUUGAUUGGAAAUUUCUUCCCUCUGUCUGUGUAUUCUUUACACAAUUUAUAUAUUUUUAUAUUAUAUUAUUAUAACAUAUCUAUUGACAUUAAAUCUUCUAUAUAAUUUCAAGGUUAGUAAUUUGUUAUCUGUAUUUUGUUACUAAUAAUAUAAUUAUUGUUGGAUUUGAGGAAAAAUAAUUGAUGUGGAACCAUUAUGUUUUAAAUUUAUUCCUCAAGAACAAUAUUAUCAAAAGAAAUAUAAUAUGUUGGGUUCAAGUUCCAUCAAUUUAUGCCUAAGACGCCUUUAUAUGGAUAAGACGUUGAGUUUGAAUUUCAAUGCAUUAUAUUGAUGAUAUUAUGAUGGCUAAGGUAAAAUAAUGAAUAUUCGGUGAAACAUGUCCCAUUAAAUAUGCUCCAUUCCUUGAAUUGAAUGUGGUAGCAAUAAAUAAUAUGUAUGCCUCAAUUUGCUCUUGUAGCAGCUUUCAUAAUUUGAUACGCUUAAAGCAUGAUUAUAUUCUAUUACUGGGGAAUGAGAAACUUAUUAAUGCAAACGUGCACUUGAUUGUGAUUGUAUCACAACUCACCUGCGAAAGAGGUUGAAUAAUUUUGAAAUCUACUUCUGAAGUAGUAAAUCUGAAAUUUAUUCAUAUAAUAGUAAAUCUGAAUUUUACUAAAGCAAAAACACAUAUCAUGGUAAACUUGGAGUUUACUAGAUUAGAAGUUCAUAAGUUGACAUGAACGAUUGUGAUAUUCCGAAUAUGUGCAUACUGAGUAUUGAACAUAUAUUGAAGAAUUAGAAAAUUCUUCAUGAACUUUAAUGUUGUUUGUUUUCAUGAUAAAUUGGUUGGACCAACUAAUUUUGGAAUUGGAUCCCUCCAAAUCUGAAAAGAAUAAAAGGUGAAUAAGAGUCCGUUCACCUAUCAUGUGAUAUGUUGAAAAGAUGCAUCAAUAAGAUGAUCAUAUGUACAGUCAUUGUCAACCUGCAGUUUGACAUUCAUAAAGUUGCUUGCUCAACAAAAUUGAGUUAAGAACAUAAUUUUCAAAUUGUGCAAUCAAGAAAGUUAUCAUGAUGAUGAUGGUUUAGCAUUGAAUGCCUUCAAUAAAUAGAUAAACCAUUGCUAAUGAGAACAAAGCUUCAUGUGUUGAUCUAAAAUAUGAUAUGUUGCAUACAAUAACACUUGUAUGUAUUAGGCCAAUAAAUUAUGAUUAUUUCUUCCCCUCAAUUGGUUCAAGGUCAUGAACCAACUAUUCCAUCUAAUAAUUUUGAUGUGUGGUAUACGAUUAAUGAAUGUACCAUGAUGCACAAAGAUNNNNNNNNNNNNNNNNNNNNNNNNNNNNNNNNNNNNNNNNNNNNNNNNNNNNNNNNNNNNNNNNNNNNNNNNNNNNNNNNNNNNNNNNNNNNNNNNNNNNNNNNNNNNNNNNNNNNNNNNNNNNNNNNNNNNNNNNNNNNNNNNNNNNNNNNNNNNNNNNNNNNNNNNNNNNNNNNNNNNNNNNNNNNNNNNNNNNNNNNNNNNNNNNNNNNNNNNNNNNNNNNNNNNNNNNNNNNNNNNNNNNNAGGUUCAUGUACCUGAAAAUAAUGAAGUGAUGAGAUCUCAAAAUGUUAUGUCGCAUUGUGAACCGAUACUAAAUGAUAUAUCAUCAAUAUAUUUGACACAAUAUUAGCGCAAUAUUGUGAAAUAUUACGAGGAUCUUAAUUCUACGUUAAUUUAAGCAUGCUGACGUAGAAACAUUUAUCAAGUGACAUGAAAGGAUGCAUUUUGGCAAGUAUUAAACUUAUUUGAUUUACAGUCCAGAUAUGUGAAGAUGUCACUAAUAAAAUGUUGAAUAUUGUCACUUGAUAAAACUUAUAUGAAAAACUUUUAAGGAUUCAAAAUGCUUGAAGCAUAUAAAAGUUUCUGGGAAACUUAUUUAUAAUCCUUAUACUGUAUAAGCUUAUUGCUUGAACAUCAUUUGAACUCUUGGAGAGUUUUCAAAGCAAUAGAUUAUUUGUCGAAAUUCAAAAUAUAUCGAAUUGGAUUGAUUAUGAAGUACCAUAUCUUAGUGCAAUUGAUGUACUCAUGUACCUUGCAAAUACUACAAGGCCUAUAGCCUUUUCAGUCAAUUUGUUAGCAAGAUAUAUUUGUGCUCCUACUAUAAGACAUCAAAAUGGGAUAAAACACAUGAGCUUGUUUUAUUCUAAAUAUUGCAGUCCCGAUCUUAUUAGUCAUGCUGAUGUUGGGUACUUAUCUGACCCGCAUAAAGUUCGGUCUCAAAUAGGCUAUGCGUUCAUAUGUGGUGGUACUGCCAUAUAUUGGAGAUAUACAAAGCAGUCUAUCGUAGCCACUUCAUUGAAUCAUGCUGAGAUAAUAACUAUUCAUAAAGCAAGCCGAGAAUGUGUAUGGUUGAGGUCCAUGAUACAUCUCAUUCGAGAAAAAUAUGGUGUGAAAUAUGACAAUCUACCCACAAUUUUAUACAGAGAUAAUUUAGCAUACAUAGCAUAUCUUAAGGGAAGAUUCAUAAAUGGAGAUAGAACGAAGCACAUUUUGCCAAAGCUUUUCUACGUACAUGAGCUACAAAAGAAUGAUGAGAUUAACGUGCAACAGAUUCGUUCAACUGACAAUGUGACUGAUUUAUUCACCAAAUCUUCUCCAACUGCAACUUUCAAGAAGAUGUUGCACAAGAUUGAGAUGCAAAGGUCAAGGAUGUUCUCAUUAAGGGGAAUUAAUACGCGCUAUACUCUUUUUUCCUUACGAGAUUUUGUCCCACUGGGUUUUCCUUGUAAGUUUUUAAUGAGGCAGCCGAAAUGCGUAUUAUUAGAGAUGUGUACUCUUUUUCCUUCACUAGAUUUUUUUCCAACUGAGUUUUUUCUAGUAAGGUUUUAACGAGACACAUUAUCUACCAAUUAGACAUUCAAUGGGGAGUGUUAUAAAUGUAUUUACAUUAUAGUGAAUGUCUAUCAAGAUCUAUCAAGAUCUACCUUGAUAUCUAUUAGGAUUUGAAGCAUCUGUCUGUUACUCAGACUAGGAGUAAAUUUUUCCUAUAAAUAAAGGAAUUUUAUUCAUUGUAUUUACAAUCUUAUGAUCUUUCAUCUCUUAAGAAAAGAAAUAAGAAUUACUCAGAAAUAAGAAUUACUCUCUCUAUUCUCUCUACUCUCUCUACUCUUCUUCGUUAUUCGUUAUUGUUUCAUAACAGAAAUGACUUUUUGACUAUUAUAAUCUUAUUUAUAUAAGUGACAUGAUUACUAUUUACUAAUUGAUUUUUUUUGUAAUGUUUUCUUCAUUUACUCAAUUGUAGUAAACUCGUAAAUAUUUACUUUUUAUAAUAUUAUUAUUUAUGUUGUUUAAAUUAAUUGUUCACAUAUUUUAAGGAAUGACAUCUCUAUUGAAAUAUUUUUUAUUCUGGAAUGACGUUUUGGUCAUAGUAAUUUUUUUCAUAUAAAUUGCUUGAUUACUAAUUGGUUAUUCACUAAAAUAAAUUUUGUUGCCAACAAAAUAGAUUCUUAUUACCAAAAUACCAAGUGAUUAGUUCUCGAUAUGCCACUUGGCUUAAUUUUAAGCUAACUACUUUGUUUUAUCAUAUAAAUAUAUAGAUUUUCAAGCAAUCCUACUUAUCAUGUGUACAUUUAUUUUUACAAACUAUAUUAUUUAGGUAUAUACUUAGUAAAUUUUAAUUAACCUGGUGUCUAAGUGACACUUGUAGUGACGAGGUGUCUUAAGUGCUGUGUGUCUAUUGGGUCACAGCUUAAUAUAAAUAUAAUUACCUCAAAUUACAACAACAACAACAACAACAUACCCAGUAUAUUCCCACAUAGUGGAGUUUGGGGAGGGUAAAAUGUACACAGUCCAUACCACUAUCCCGACGGGGGUAGAAAGGCUGUUUUCGAUAGACCCCCAGCUCAGGACCAAGGACCAUCCUUCAUACCAAACACGCCCUAAAUAUAAAACAAAUCCAAGCUGAAUAGAGAAAAUAGAGGCUCAGAUCUGUAUUAAGCUCGGGCAGCAAGAGAGUCCAACAACGCCUUGGCUGCAAAACCAUCAGAAAAUCUGGUAGCAUGCCCCGUCAAGAUGCGCGUCGGAUAACAUCAAAUGAUCAAUUAAUCUGCUCGGAAGGGAAUAAAAUAUGACAAAAUCAUCAUCGCCUCUUUAAAGCCACCGAUUAUACUCGGCACUAAAUGCUCCAACAGAACCAUUAGAAAAAGGAGAGAAAAAAAAGAGCUGAAGGUUGUCGAAAACCUUCAAACAAAUGAUGUUAACCAUAUAUAUUUCCCUUCGUUCAAAAUCAAUAAAAGGGUUGUUGGCAUUCUUAAAUAAACUUAAUAUCUUAUCAAAAAACAGCAUAUAAUGAACGUAUUUGGUUGUAUUUUGCUAUUUUAUUAUCUUUUUUGUUUUUAUAAUCCUGCAUAAGAUUUUUUUUUUUUUCAAUGAAAGCCUAUCAAAAAUAAUUUUCUUUAUCUCACAAAAAUAAAAAUAAGAUUUAUGUAUAUUCAUAAAUCUCAGUAUCUUAAUCUCACUAGCAUAUUAUUCGUAUUGCUUUAUAAUAUCACCUAAGUGGAUUUAUAUAUAUUCAAUGAUUUCAUAAGAUUCUUGAAUUACUCUAGAGAGUUCCAAGAACCAAAAGAUCUUUUUGACAAGUCUUGUGAAUACAACCAAAAGUGACCAAUCAUCAUAAUGAUGUCAAAUUUUUAUCAACUCUUCUUUUGCAUUUAUAUAAUUUCG